rnacentral:rRNA from 1 species
GGCCUAACACAUGCAAGUCGAGCGGCAGCGGGAAAGUAGCUUGCUACUUUUGCCGGCGAGCGGCGGACGGGUGAGUAAUGCCUGGGAAAUUGCCCAGUCGAGGGGGAUAACAGUUGGAAACGACUGCUAAUACCGCAUACGAUCUACGGAUGAAAGCAGGGGACCGCAAGGCCUUGCGCUCAUGGAGCGGCCGAUGGCAGAUUAGGUAGUUGGUGGGAUAAAAGCUUACCAAGCCGACGAUCUGUAGCUGGUCUGAGAGGACGACCAGCCACACUGGGACUGAGACACGGCCCAGACUCCUACGGGAGGCAGCAGUGGGGAAUUUUGGACAAUGGGCGAAAGCCUGAUCCAGCCAUGCCGCGUGCAGGAUGAAGGCCUUCGGGUUGUAAACUAC